UUCAAGAUGGCGUCGAUGCAGCUAACGGAUGAGGAGAUUUUCUCUGAGUUGAAACGGCUCGGCUUCAGUGCUGGACCGGUAACCGAGAAAACACGGCCGGUAUAUCUGAAAAAACUUAAGAAGCUCCGCGAAGAGCAACAACAGCGAGGUUCCAGGGCCAGUAAAACCCGUAACAGCGGGGCCUUCUCCGGCGGCGCGACUGGCGGCGGCACGGCGGCAUUUAGGCCCGGGAGUCCUGACGUCACGCACCUGGGCUCGGGCAGGAGACCCGGGCACAAGUCCACCGUCCUCGGCUUCAGCUCCGACGAAUCUGACGCUGAAACUCCCCUGAGAAGAAAAGGCCUGGACCACAGCAGCAGGGCGCACCGGAGUUCCGGGUCUCAACACCAAGCCAAGAUAAGCACCGUAGCAUCGCAUGGCGUGCCUGCGAGGAGCCCGGGUGGCGCCGGGACCGCAUUAAGCCGCAGCUCGGUGACUCCGGACGGACAGAAGCGCGUCUCCCUGGGCUGGGAAGCGAGUGCCGCGUCCGGCCCUGACGCGGGGGGACGGUACUAUGAUGAAUCCGCCGAUGAGGACGACAGCGAGAGAGGAUCGGAGAAGAAUUCUCGCUCUUUAAAUGGCCGUGCCUCAUCCCGCCUCAAGAGCAGCAAACUAGCGGGGGAUUACUCCGACUCGGACGAGGAGACCGCCGGCGGCCUCGGCUCCGAGGAGCGGCUCCGCUCGGAGCGUCGCGGGGCUUCUGUACACGGAGGAGGUCGAGAGAGGAGCGGCGAGGUGAGCCCGCCCGGAGGCGUGAAUAUGCCGGCAAGCCGAGGUGAGGACGAGGAGGAGCGGGAGAGAUAUGGGGACCCGCGGUGCCGGCGCUUCUCUAGGAAAUCCAUCUACUUGUCCCUGGACGACCAGCACGGAGAGAAGGCCGCGAGGAACAACCAUGUGGACGGCCUGGAGGACGGAGCAUCCAGGGGCCCUGGCAGGUUUAGCUCUGGGCUCAGACCACGCUUCUGCAACCACAGCAGCCUCUCUCAGACGUACCGGGCCAACCACUCCAAUCACACCCCCAACCACUCUCACAGCCCGGGGCCCCUGAAGAGGAAGCUGUCCGUCCCGGAGGACGAGCUGCUGCAGCAGUUCAAGAGAGAAGAGCCGGCCUCCUCCGGGAGCUUCAGCGCACACUACCUGUCCAUGGUGCUGCUGUCUGCAGCCUGCCUCUUCUUCCUGCUGCUGGGCCUGGUCUACCUGAGGAUGAGGGGCUCUGCCGCCUCCGAGGCGGCCGGUGUCAUUAAGAGCCACCCCUUCGGUGAAGACUUUGACUCUUCUUAUGAUAAAAUAGAAAAGGAGUUGAUCUUGACCCUGCUGCUCAACCUUCAUGACCACUUAGCCUUUGUUGCUGGUCAGCAUGACUGUGGAGACCAGCAGCAUCCAAACCGGAGUGUGUCCAUCCAGGAGGCGUCUGCUUAUCUUCAGGCUCAGAACAAGAAGUUUGAAAAUCUCACUCUGACUUCACUGGAGUGGAUCAUCCGGACGGGCCGGGACGUGGGGAUCAGGCUCUGGGGGCUGCACGCUGAAGAGCCGGUCACUGAUGUGUCUGACAUCUCUCGUCUGGAGUCCACACACCCCAAGAUGUCCUUCACGUGUCGCUUCCGCCGCGCCUUCCUGACCGUCAUCUGCAGAGUGGUCCUGAUGGCCGCCGUGGUGGGCUGUGUGUGGGGCGUGGUCCGCUACAUGAAGUACCGCUGGCGGAGAGAAGAGGAGGAGACCAGGAACAUGUACGACAUGGUGGAGAGGAUCAUCGACGUGUUGAGGACUCACAGCGACGCCUGCCAGGACAACCCCAACCAGCUGCCCUACCUGCCCAUCCCUCAUGUCAGAGACUCUCUGGUGCCCCCUCCGGACCGGAAGAAGAUGAAGGCGAUUUGGGAUCGAGCGCAGCGCUUCGUUUCAGCCAACGAGUCCAGGGUUCAAACAGAGAGUCAGACCAUCAAUGGAGCAGACUUCAAGGUCUGGAGGUGGAUCCAGCCGUCGCUCGCCUCUGAGAAGACCUCGAUCCCCUCCAAAGUCUGGCAGGGCAAAGCUUUCCCUUUGGACCGAAGGAACUCGCCGCCCAACAGCCUGACCCCGUGUCUGAAGAUCAGGAACAUGUUCGACCCGGUCAUGGAGGUCGGGGACAACUGGCACCUCGCCAUCCACCAGGCCAUCCUGGAGAAGUGCAGUGACAACGCAGGCAUCGUCCACAUCGCCGUGGACAAAAACUCCCGAGAGGGCUGUGUCUACGUGAAGUGUCUGUCUGCAGAGCACUCAGGGAAAGCCUUCAAGGCACUUCACGGCUCCUGGUUUGAUGGGAAGCUGGUGACGGUGAAGUACCUUCACCUGGACAGGUAUCACCAGCGCUUCCCUGAGGCACAAGGCUGCAGCAGCCCUCUGAAGGCGUCCAGCCUCCACCUGGACGCUGCCGCCGCCUCCAGCAGCUCCAGCAGCCAGCCCCAAAUCCAGCCCCAGAUCCAGCCCCAGAUCCAGCCCCAGAUCCAGCCCCAGAUCCAGCCCCAGAUCCAGCCCCAGAUCCAGCCCCAGAUCCAGCCCCAGAUCCAGCCCCAGAUCCAGCCCCAGAUCCAGCCUCGGCCUCAGCAGCUCGGCUCCAGCUGCUCCUGAGCUGAAGCUGCUCUGUCCUCUAUCAGGAGGUGGGAUCUGCUGAGAGGCGCUUUUCCCUUGGACCCAGUCGCACCUGAUUCACCUGGAUCCCUUUGGGUUCACCUGCGGCACAUACCUAGAACACACCUGGAACACCCAGAACACCCAGAACACCCGGACACCCAGAACACCCGGACACCCGGACACCCAGAACACCCGGACACCCAGAACACCCAGAACACCCGGACACCCAGAACACCCGGACACCGGACAUCCAGAACUCCUAGAACACAUGUAACUCCCGGAACACGCAGAACACCUAAGACACCUAGAACACCUGAAACAUCCAGGACACCUGGGACAUGAAGAACAUGCAAGUGUCCAGUCCUCUGCAGCCAGCUGUCCUCUACACACACACACACACACACUCCAACAAUAACAACAGCAGCAAAACAAACACAACAACAACAUCAUCUCCCGGUCAGUCCGCCAUGCUUUGCAGUCCCAUUUGUGAUCUCCAUCCUGAGAGGGACACACACACACACACACACACACACACACACACACACACACACACACACACACAUACACACACAGACUUUGCAUUCUGUGGUCAUCUCACUUCCAGGUGUGUGACUGUUGUCAUGGUGGAGCUACUUUUGAACCAAUCAGGGUGUGAGUGUGUGUGAGUGUCAAGUCAGAGGUGUUUUCUUUGAAUGCAGUAAAGAGUGUUCAGGUGUUCAGUGUGUUCGCAGCCUGUCGACCCGCCUGUGCCUUAAAUUUGAGCUUUUCUGCAUCCCAGGAGAACGUUCUGGAUGGAACACGUGGAGGACAUGUUCUAGUAGAACGUCCUGGACUGAGGACAUGUUCCAGUAGUGACUGAGGCUGAGUUCUUCUGGAUUUCAUCACGUGGUAUUUUGUAGCAGGUUCCUUUGGUGUUAAACCAAAAGCUUCUAUUUAUUAUGUUGAGAGAACCGAAGCCAUGUUUCUGUUACACAUGUUCCUGACUGGCUUCUCUCUGGAGGUGUGUGUGUGUGUGUGUGUGUGUGUGUGUGUGUGUGUGUGUGUGUGUGUGUGUGUGUGUGGUGUGUGUGUGUGUGUGUGUGUGUGUGUGUGUGUGUGUGUGUGUGUGUGUGUGUGUGUGUGUGUGUGUGUGUGGUGUGUGUGUGUGUGUGUGUGUGUGUGUGUGUCUCCAGUCUCCUGCUUCACAUCAUUUUCAAAGCGUUCUCCUCUGGUGUAUUUUCUGUAAUGCUGUACAUUGAUAUGACUGUAUUCUGUACCAUUAUAUACAGCUUUAUUUCCAUUGUAUGAGGGGGGAGGGGGGCAAUAUGACAGACAUUUUAAUGUAAUGUGUACAAAAUGCUCAAAUUAAAGGUUUAUUAGGAGUUUUUA